CUGGGACUUAGAGAUUCCAGGUACCAGGAUUAUCUUCAGAUAACACGUGUCCUCACUGCUAAACGUAGCAAUACAGACAAACAUGUAUAGGCAAAAUUAACAUCACACCAAACAUAAGAAUAAACUGCGUAAGCAUAUUCUACGUGUUGCUACGAGGUCGUAGGAACAAGAACCACUAAAUUCAGAGCUACGGUUAUUAAGUUAUGAUUUUAUGAAGUUAUUUAAUGCCUAAAAUAGAGCUAUUCAUGUGAAUAAUUUUAAAUCAAGUUUCAUGGUUAGACAAAGGUACUUGGUGAUAAACAAUAUUUAAACAAAAUAAAUGCCACUGGAAUGAAUCAAUUUGGAGUUAUAGAUUUUAAGUUAUGAAUUUCUGAAGGUUUUAUGUGUUUUGUACAAGAUUAAAUAUGAUAUAAAUUUUAAUGUGACUUUCAUGUCAAAACAGAGGUACUAUGUGAUAAACAACAUUAUUACAAAAUUAUAGGAACUGGAAUGGACUAAAAAGAAGUUAGUAUGAAUUUUCUAUGAAUAAAAUGAGUUUUUGGAAUUAUUUACAUACUAAAAAUUAUUUUCUAAUUGAAUUUCUGAAUUUCCCAAUGAUUUUGGACUGCACGCCAAUUCCCAGAGAAGACAGGGGCCACGGUGUAAAAUCUUCCAAGACACAGGGCACAGCACUGGUGGACGGCGGGUUGGUUUAGAUAAAUUUCAGGGACUCUUUAGCAAAGUGACUCGGCAAAGGGGUAUUGGCGAAUCAUGGCUGCUGGAUCAUAAUCGAGGGCCCGGAUUAGAUCACGAGUCGUUACGCGUUGUAACGAUCCCAACUGUUGGAUCAAUGGCGAGCGGCCUGGAUUUAAAUACCCUAAAGUCCAUCCUAUUCGCUGAUGAAUAGAUCUACGGUCACCGCGCCCGAGCUGAAUCGUUCUUUUGACUUCUAAUCUCCACCGUUAAACAAGGAUCGGACGACCCCGAGACCCCCACCAACCUCCCACAGCGGAGCGCGGCGGCGUGCUCCAUGCGCGGUGGCUCCCCGCCGGAGUCGAGUUGACUACGGGUUUGUCGAACCGUUCAACCGAGGGAAACGCGCCAAAAGAAAAUUCACACACUAACAAAUCGAACAAAGGGUUCCAUACCUAGGUUUGACGCGGCGCGAUGCUGCUCCACGCCGAACGACUCCCACGCGGCGGAGACAAGGUCCCGACGAGAAAUUCCAGUCGCUGCCGAGGUCGAAACACCCCCAGCCGGUCACGAGCGCCCCCCAGCAGCGCUGCGAAGUAGCCCAAGGCGGCACGGACCCCCCGGAAAUGGUCACGGACGGGAACGGAGCUGGCGGGUGCUCCCAGCCGCGAUCCGAGCCCGAGCAGUGAGUUCCCACGGCGCGUACGGAUGCGGCAAACAGGCGUCCGACGGCGAGGAUGUCCUGCGAGCGCAUGGCAGACCCACAGUGUCUCCCCCGCGAGCAACGAACCGAGGCCAACCCUCCAUACAUCACGCGCUCGUUGAAGGUCCACACAGGGGCGCUCUUUAUCUCUCUCCACCAUGGCACCCCUUCCUGGUUCUCCUUGUGUUCUCGCUGGGCCGCAGGUUCCAAGUCGACCCCGAAGCGAUGGGGAAACCGGGGGAUGGUUUUUAUAUUCCUAAAGCCGAGCUUCACGAUGGGAUGACGACGAAUCGAGCCCGGAAAUCUCGGUUCCUGGCAUCAGUUAGCGCCAGAUGCGGAGGGGGUUUGAGAGGAUAGGGAUGACCCUGACAGGCUGGGCCCACACGCAAGACACUCAGGCGAGAGGUGCUGAGGACAGCGUCCCAGUACGCGCGCCAUCGCCGUGAGGCCGCCCACAUGACCCCACAAGUCGGUGACAGUGUGUAUGUGUGCGGGAUGUGAAUUGGGCUAGCAGGGUGCUCAUGGGCCGCAUGGAUGUGAGCCAGGUUGGGCUGAGGGGGAGGGAAUUCAGCCCAGAAUCCAGUUUGUCCAUUUUCCCUUUUUUUCUUUUCUAAUUCCUAAUUCAAAUUUAGUUUGCAAUUCACACUCAAGGUUUGAGUUCAACUUUUAAAUGCACAGUGAAAACUCCAGCAUGAGAUUCAAGUUAUAUUUGUAGAGAAUAUUUUAUUCAGUUAUUUAGAAAUAUAUAUUUCAAAUGUGAAGUAAACAUAUUGUUGAGAAAUACUAUUUUUGAUGUAAGUUUAAAGGUUCUCCCAUAAUUCAACAUUUAUUUUUUUUAUUUAUUAAAAUUAAAGGGAUAUGUUUUAUGAAGGAUGAAAAACAUUUAUAGAAGUUAUUUUAUCUCAAAUUAUUCGGACAUUUUUUAUAACUUCACAAAAUAAGAUUUUGGGUAUUACAACAAUGCAUACAAAUAAUGAAAUAAUGGAUACAAAUAACGUUACACCAAACAUGAGGAAAACUACGUAGUAAUAUUCUACAAGACGAGACGAGAUCGUAGGUUCGAGAACCACUAAAAUCAGAGUUAAAAUGUGAAAGAUAUCAAUUUUCUAAGUUUCCUAGGCAUUGUAUAUUAAUUUUACACUUAAAAGAAUUUACUCACCCGUGUUUAAGGACAAAUAUAUAUACAUAUCAAAUGUGUGCUAGGAUCAAGUCUCACACAUAUGAUGUCAUGGUACAUAAAUCAAUGUCACAUCUUUAUUACGUAAUAGGAGUUCUAUAUAGAAUAGCUAAAUAAAAUACAUCAUAUGACGAUAUGAUCCUCCACAAUCAUAGUUGUUUGGGAGACUACGACCUAGAUCUCUCCGAACUCAUCUUCAUGAUCCUUCUCUAGCGGUACCUAUACUUAACCUGGUGUGAUUAUAGCAAGGGUGAGCUCUCAUACGAUCUUCGCUCAUCAAGUGUGGGGAAAACUGUGUAUGUGUUCAUUUAUGGUUGGGGCUCAUGUGGUGUAAGGAUACGAAGCAUAAUGGUUAAGGCUAGCCAUUGCUUUUAAAUAAGUUGAUCAAAAUUUUAUUAGCAAUUACUAAGUAUAAGUAUAUACCAUCCUAAAUAGAUGAGAGAUCAUAAGUAAUAAUAACUCCCACAAUGCAAUGCAUGACAUGUUAAAUUUAGUUCCAUCAUUUAGUCAUGUGAGUGUCCGAGUCGCUCUUGACCGUGAGCACAGAUAUACCAGUUGUACACUCUAUAGAAGUUGCGCAUCUUUAACCACAACACAUGUUUCCCGUUUAGCCAGAGAUUCCAAGGCCCUUAGACGCUUCCAAAUUGAAUGGCUAGGGAUCCACUCCAAGACCUUUAUAAAGUUUCGCUAGCUUGAGAAAACCCGUUAUGGUUUAAGAACCACUAAAUCAGAGUUAAAAAAUGAAAGAUGUGAAUUUUCUAAGUUUUCUAGGCAUUUUAUAUUAAUUUUACACUUAAAAACAUUUACUAAAUGUUUUUAUGUAUUUCCUGGAUUUAUUUUAUUUUUUAAUCAGUAAAAAGGACGGUGUUCACUAUUUCUAAGAGUUCGGGCCCUGUAAAAGUUAUGGGCCUAAAUUAAAUUUCUUUAGCUAAGUUAGGACUGCGGGUUGAUAUAUGACUCUGCUCUAUUCGGCUGUUAUAACUCUGCUCUAUCCCUGGUCAUUGGAUCCAAAGGCAACGACACAGACUAGUCUCCCAUUUCUACGAACCGGUACACUCUCUGAUCUCUCCGAUUCCACAUCUACGACGUACGAUCGUCCACGUCUUGGCUUAACAUCUACUCGCCCGAUCAAACUCUGAUGGUUCAGAUGGAUUCAAGCCGAAUGGGUAAAUUAGAUUUAAUCCAGUCCAUCCAUCCAUCCAUCCACAUCCAACGUCCACGCUCUCAUCCCUCUCCUCUGGUGGUCGAACACGGAGGCGCGCACGAUCACCACGGAGGCGGCAAUUCUGGCAACCGGUGAAACAACGCUCUGGCGAGCAACACCCUUCAACAAACAGGGCUACACUAUGUGGAGGUCGCGAUGAACGAUUGGAAAUAGAUCUCACCGAAUAUGAUGGCGAAGAGGCCCUGGGUCCACGGCGUGGUGAAGCUCCGCGACGGCGCUUGACCUCCGACGAGCACGCUCCUGCUAUAGGGUGUCAUUGCUCAGAUGCAGACGGUGCUACUCGUUAAGGGGACAGUGGAGAGCACGAUGAGGGGAUUCCUACCCAAAGAGGUGCCGGUGGUGACAUGGUCCGUGUCGAACUGCGGCUCCACAACGUCCGACUUGCUCCAGUGAGAAAUUCGGCCGGCCCUUAUGGCUCACACUUCACACCAGUGUCUUGACCAACCUCCUUGCCUCCCAAUCGAAUUCCAUAGCCACCAACCGAGGCCGGAGGGACGGCGUGGUCAAGAUCCGGAGCGCGACGUCUCUCUCCUUGCUCUCUGCUCUCUUCGCUACGUGAUUUCUCAAUGCUCGGCUAUUGACGUUGGCC
rnacentral:lncRNA from 1 species